GUGAGGAAUAUUGGUCAAUGGGCGGGAGCCUGAACCAGCCAAGUCGCGUGAAGGAAGAAGGAUCUAUGGUUCGUAAACUUCUUUUGCAGGGGAAUAAAGUGCGGGACGUGUCCUGUUUUGUAUGUACCCUGAGAAUAAGGAUCGGCUAACUCCGUGCCAGCAGCCGCGGUAAUACGGAGGAUCCGAGCGUUAUCCGGAUUUAUUGGGUUUAAAGGGUGCGUAGGUGGUUUGAUAAGUCAGCGGUGAAAGUUUGCAGCUUAACUGUAAAAAUGCCGUUGAAACUGUCGGACUUGAGUGUAAAUGAGGUAGGCGGAAUGCGUGGUGUAGCGGUGAAAUGCAUAGAUAUCACGCAGAACUCCGAUUGCGAAGGCAGCUUACUAAGCUACAACUGACACUGAAGCACGAAAGCGUGGGGAUCAAACAGGAUUAGAUACCCCAGUAGUCC
rnacentral:rRNA from 1 species